AACGAACGUUAGCGGCGCGCCUAACACAUGCAAGUCGAGCGAGAAAGGGCUUCGGCCCCGGUACAGCGGCGCACGGGUGAGUAACACGUAGGUAAUCUACCCCCAGGUGGUGGAUAACCUUCCGAAAGGAGGGCUAAUACAGCAUGAGACCACGACUCCGAAAGGGGAUGAGGUCAAAGCCGGCCUCUUCAUGAAAGCUGGCGCCAGGGGAUGAGCCUGCGGCCCAUCAGCUAGUUGGUAGGGUAACGGCCUACCAAGGCGAAGACGGGUAGCUGGUCUGAGAGGAUGAUCAGCCACACUGGAACUGAGACACGGUCCAGACUCCUACGGGAGGCAGCAGUGGGGAAUCUUGCGCAAUGGGCGAAAGCCUGACGCAGCGACGCCGCGUGAGUGAUGAAGGCCCUCGGGUUGUAAAGCUCUGUGGAGGGGGACGAAUAAGGGUUGACUAAUAUCCAGCUCGAUGACGGUACCCCUUUAGCAAGCACCGGCUAACUCUGUGCCAGCAGCCGCCGUAAGAC
rnacentral:rRNA from 1 species